GACGUAGGGCGCGAGCGUUGUCCGGAUUUAUUGGGCGUAAAGAGCUCGUAGGCGGCUCGUCGCGUCGUCCGUGAAAACCUGCGGCUCAACUGCAGGCUGGCGGUCGAUACGGGCAGGCUGGAGUUCGGUAGGGGAGACUGGAAUUCCUGGUGUAGCGGUGAAAUGCGCAGAUAUCAGGAGGAACACCGGUGGCGAAGGCGGGUCUCUGGGCCGAUACUGACGCUGAGGAGCGAAAGCGUGGGGAGCGAACAGG
rnacentral:rRNA from 1 species